AACGAACGCUGGCGGCAGGCUUAACACAUGCAAGUCGAACGCCCCGCAAGGGGAGUGGCAGACGGGUGAGUAACGCGUGGGAAUCUACCCAGUUCUACGGAACAACAGUAGGAAACGACUGCUAAUACCGUAUACGCCCUACGGGGGAAAGACUUAUCGGAAUUGGAUGAGCCCGCGUAAGAUUAGCUAGUUGGUGAGGUAAUGGCUCACCAAGGCGACGAUCUUUAGCUGGUCUGAGAGGAUGAUCAGCCACACUGGGACUGAGACACGGCCCAGACUCCUACGGGAGGCAGCAGUGGGGAAUAUUGGACAAUGGGCGCAAGCCUGAUCCAGCCAUGCCGCGUGAGUGAUGAAGGCCUUAGGGUUGUAAAGCUCUUUCAGUAGGGAAGAUAAUGACGGUACCUACAGAAGAAGCCCCGGCUAACUUCGUGCCAGCAGCCGCCGCGGUAA
rnacentral:rRNA from 1 species